GACGAACGCUGGCGGCGUGCUUAACACAUGCAAGUCGAACGGAAAGGCCCUUCGGGGUCCUCGAGUGGCGAACGGGUGAGUAACACGUGGGUGAUCUGCCCUGCACUUUGUGAUAAGCCUGGGAAACUGGGUCUAAUACCGAAUAGGACCACGCGCUUCAUGGUGUGUGGUGGAAAGCUUUUGCGGUGUGGGAUGGGCCCGCGGCCUAUCAGCUUGUUGGUGGGGUAAUGGCCUACCAAGGCGACGACGGGUAGCCGGCCUGGGAGGGUGACCGGCCACACUGGGACUGAGAUACGGCCCAGACUCCUACGGGAGGCAGCAGUGGGGAAUAUUGAACAAUGGGCGCAAGCCUGAUGCAGCGACGCCGCGUGAGGGAUAACGGCCUUCGGGUUGUAAACCUCUUUCAAUAGGGACGAAGCGCAAGUGACGGUACCUAUAGAAGAAGCACCGGCUAACUACGUG
rnacentral:rRNA from 1 species